rnacentral:rRNA from 1 species
AGAGUUUGAUCAUGGCUCAGAACGAACGUUGGCGGCAUGGAUGAGGCAUGCAAGUCGCGGGAAUGCCCAGCAAUGGGUGGAACCGGCGUAAGGGGCAGUAAGGCGUAGGUACCUACCCCGUGGUCCGGGAUAGCCCGCCGAGAGGCGGGGUAAUACCGGAUGACCUCGGGAGAGCAAAGCUCCAGCGCCACGGGCGGGGCCUACGUGAUAUUACCUAGUUGGCGGGGUAACGGCCCACCAAGGGGGAGAUGUCUAGCGGGUGUGAGAGCACGACCCGCGCCACUCGCACUGAGACACUGGCGAGACACCUACGGGUGGCUGCAGUCGAGGAUCUUCGGCAAUGGGGGCAACCCUGACCGAGCGAUGCCGCGUGGGCGACGAAGGCCUUCGGGUUGUAAAGCCCUGUCGAGGGGGAGAAAGCCGCAAGGCGGAUCCAUCCCUGGAGGAAGCUCGGGCUAAGUUCGUGCCAGCCGCCGCGGUAAUAC